GUGCCGCCGCUGGCACGCGUGCCAUAGGUUGCCUACCCCUGAGCUAGAGAUUGAUGAGUUUGCUACAGCAGUGGCUAAGAGCCACCUGUCUUUUAGCUCAUGCAGUACAGGUUCACACACAAAGCUUCAGAUCUCCCAAGUUUGACCCCACCCGCCGCCACCAGCUUUGUUGGCAUUACACUGGCACCUGCGAAACUGAGCAAGUGAAACCUGAUUCAUGGGGAGAGUAUGGUUUUUAUUGAGACUGUUUCAAACAGUUUUUACUAACACCUGUUUAAUGCAAUCCGGCCCUGGGGAUUCAGGAUGGCCCGUCAGCAUGGGUUAUAACUUUAAGCCUGUGCAUAGUUCCACUGAAGUCAAUGAGGCUUACUCACACGCUUAGAGGUAGGCACAUGCCUUUGUCCCUGCCUGAAUAAGAGCAAAGGUGGGUGGCAAGAUCUCCAGUGAAGAUUGUGGCAUAUGCUCCUACUUCACAUCUGAAUCAUCCCAAGAUUUCUCCAUCCAUAAGGAUGGUUAGAAAUACCAGGAAUGUCAAACCUUACAUAUAAAAUAAUCACAACACACGUUCCCAGACCUUCCUUGUACCAUACAGCAAAAGGGUACAAAUAACAAAUUCUGCUGUGUCACAAGUUCAGGGACAGGGAAUAUUUUAGAAGAUUCUCGUCUUCCAUGCACAUUUUUCCCUAUUAAAAUUUCCAGUUAACAAAACUGACAAAGAUCACAUCCUCUCACUUCCCUCAUUGCAAAUUAAUAUUAAAUUGCAAGCUUUCUGUCACUUUCCAGGUCAAGAAAAAAAAUGGAAAGAUACCACAAUUGCAAAGUCUGCAUGGCUUUCUGAUCAAUUAAUUACACUGAAUGUAAUUUCACUGUCAAAGAACACCAGUGAUG